AGAAACUCUGGGUAAGGUAAAAGGUCCUGCAAAAUCUAAUAAAAUGAAAGACCAAGUGGAGAAAGACAGAUAUCUGUUUAAACGCAGAGAUGAGCCUGUUAACCUGAAAGUCCACCAAGUUGGUCCAGCACAAGCAGGUUCAUCUGACCAGUCCGCUCAUCUAGACAGCUCCUCCUUUGCAGGAAAAGAUGUAUCUCCUAGUGCUGCUGAUGCCUCUGGCUCCACCUUGAUUGAGAGCUUUAAGCAGCCCUCAAGUCAGGUAGCUAAUGUGGAAGAACUUCAUGUAGAAAGACAAGCUGAAGAUGGUGGUACUGAUGUUGUGCGGCCUUCAGAUAAAGUCAAGGUUCGUAAACGUUCUGGUGGAGAAGCGAGUGGUGGAAGUAGUCCAUCAACUGAGAGGAAGAAAAAGAAGAAGAAGGUGGUGUUGGGCAUGAAAACUGAAUCUAAUCAUAGGGAUGCACCAGCAGCAGCUGUUUCUUCAGAUAAUCAGGUAAUGGAAAAAGUUGCAAGAGAGUCUAUCCAAGUUCCUUCAGUUUCCAAGGAAGAACUUCAAAUGGAUAUUCAGCAAAAGGGUGAUCCUGCAGAUAGCUCUGUGCCUG
rnacentral:misc_RNA from 1 species